UGUGAGGUCACCCGGAGAGAACGUCCCCAGGAGGUGGCCCUGCCACCAACACACCGCCACACACAAGCACCCUCCUCGGGUAAACUGCAGGUGGAGGCCUCGCCGAGCUGCAGCAGCUGGGCACCCGUGGCUUAAAAACACGGCCAGUUCCCUACGCUGCUGCUGUUUGACUUUAUAAAAACUUAGUUGCACGUACACAUAAAGGUAAAGAAACAGAGAACAAAGGAAGCAAAGUGAUGUGCUUAGUGCUGCUUAUCAGGAAAUAAGCAAGUUUCCUGAAGCAAGACAUUUCCUGAUGUGGAAAAUAUGGAAUAAAAUAAACCACAAGAAGAUCUUUGCUAUUUUUCA